rnacentral:rRNA from 1 species
UACGAAGGGUGCAAGCGUUAAUCGGAAUUACUGGGCGUAAAGCGUGCGUAGGUGGUUUGUUAAGUCUGCUGUGAAAGCCCUGGGCUCAACCUGGGAAUGGCGGUGGAUACUGACAAGCUAGAGUGCGGUAGAGGAGGGUGGAAUUCCCGGUGUAGCGGUGAAAUGCGUAGAGAUCGGGAGGAACAUCAGUGGCGAAGGCGGCUUUCUGGUCUGUAACUGACGCUGAGGCGCGAAAGCGUGGGGAGCAAACAGG